rnacentral:rRNA from 1 species
UACGUAGGGCGCAAGCGUUAUCCGGAAUUAUUGGGCGUAAAGAGCUACGUAGGCGGUUUGUCGCGUCUGCCGUGAAAGUCCGGGGCUCAACUCCGGAGUCUGCGGUGGGUACGGGCAGACUAGAGUGAUGUAGGGGAGACUGGAAUUCCUGGUGGUAGCGGUGAAAUGCGCAGAUAUCAGGAGGACACCGAUGGCGAAGGCAGG